CUUUUUUUUUUUUUUUUUUUUUUUUUGCCAUUUGUGAUAUUUUUUCAUUCAUGUGUUUAACAUUUUGGAUUUCCACAUUCAUAAAUAGCAGCAAAUCUAAACAAACAUGGAAAAAAGCAAGUCUGAAGCUCUGGCUUUUAUGACCAUGCAAAGAGAAAUUCACAUUCAAAAUCAACAUUUAAAUAAUGGCACAGAUGCAUACAAGCAGGGAAAUAGAUAGUUACAAUGGAAAUGUGCCACAUGCCUCAGAACACAUAACCACAACAGGGUGUCUCUUUUAUGACUUCCUUAAUGCACUGCAAUAUGUCUAGAUAUCAAAGGACAUAUGGUAUAUUUUCCCUUUAAUUGCACAUUUCUUUGCUCUUGUGAGUUACUCACAACCUUAACAUUAUUUAAUUGUAAUUUAGAUGCAUAAAUCUCAGUCAUCAUCAAGAGUUUCAAAUGCAAAUAUGUUUCAAUGAAAUCUUACUUCCACCUCUAUUCCAACUUUUGUCAGUGUAGUCUUUCUUUUUUGUCGGUGUGCAUUUGAGUAAGUAACAAUUUUUGGAAAGAGAAGUAUUCAGACAGAGAAGGAUCAGUCCUUUUCCGAAAGACUUUUUCCUAUGUUUCAAACUCAUAUUUCUUAGUAACAACUUGUUGUCUGCCACUUGUAUUAUCUGAAUUUCCACAGAGUCAUGGACAUUUCCAUCCACAAGAAGGAAAACAGAGAAUGCUGAUUCAUUAACAUUCUCAAAUGUACAUUUUAAAUUUAAAAAAUUUAAAUGUAGUAUUUAUGUAGCUAUAUAUGUAAGAAAGGGACAGCAAAAAAUUUUAUGGUAGCACCACUUGCUUAAAAACUUUAAUGACUGCAGGUCUUGGUAUGAAAGUUAAGAAUUCUUCCUAUGAGCCAGGUGUUUCUUAGACAAAUCUUUUUUGGUGAGAGCACCUAAUUUUCUGUACUCACUCCAACUGACAGCAACACACCCAUUUUCUUUGCUAUAGUAAGGAUGGAUGAUCGCUCAGGAUCUACUGCUAACAGAUAGGAUAGUGGUGAAUUUAAGCCUAUUUUUCAGAGUAGACUACUUUUUCAUCUUGAAAUUUAAAAAAUAAAGGAGGUGUUUAUCUAGGCUUUUUGUAACAUCAACAAUACCAUCAGGUAACAGAGCAGAUCCUAAAGAAGAAGGGUCUUUCAGUAGAUGAAAAAGGAAGAUGGCAAAAGGAAAAAAAUGCAAUUUUUGGUUUAGUAUUUCUUUACCAACUGAACUUGGUGAUCUCAUAACUAUUUUGGGAUUUUCUACAUGCCCAGUCUCUGUGUUAAUUCAUCUUGUGGCAACAUGAAGCUUGCACUUUAAGGUCUGCCUGUGUAAAUGGUUGAUGCUCAAGUUCUGUUUAUUUAAAACCCAGCAACUUGUUAUCAAAAUACACAACAAUAUCUGGUUUUUAGGAUAAAUGGUGCUUUUGGCUUCCUAAAAGGGAUAAUGCUAACAGAAUAAAUUUGUCUUGAAUUUAUUCUGCCAGUUUCUUACCUGAUUCCCCCCCCACACACACACAGAAUUUGGUAAUUUCUAUUCUGUAUUGGCUAUUGUAUGGAAUAGUAAUAAAAAGUAGCACCUGAAAUGCAAGCCUAUAUGUUCCAGUAUAAAAUGAAGUUCUCAAACAGCACUGCACACUACAAGGAUAUUGGUGGCUCUGCCAUAUUCCAGAGGGGCAAUAACAAACCCCCAAAAAAUCAUUGGGAUGCUAAACUUUUAUUCUACUACUUGUCAUUUUAGUCUGCAAAUAUAAAUAUUUAGAAUAAAGAAGCUCACAGCAGGUUCAGCGGUUUGCACUAAUGGGAGUAAGUGCAAUAUCUGCAGUUAGAAAAUCUUUCCAUGUCCUGAUUUUAUUCUUCAAAAGGGAAUCUCCAGCUACUAGGAACAUAUGCUAUAAAUAAAAAAUAGCAGAACAUCUAAUCUAAGCCUCCUUAGAGCUGCAAAUUCCUCAAGUAUUCUUAGAGGUUAAUAUUUUAUUCCAUGGCACAGAAGCAAAGUGCUACAGUUCACUAACUUCUUCAGUUCCUGAAAGCUGAAAGCAACGUUCAAAAGACAAACAUGAGAAGACACUGCCAAGACAUACUGAAGAAAAGGCAGCAGUGAUCUUGAAGAUCACUGAAACUUCAUAUCUGGUAAAAGGCAACACAUUUGCAGUGGAAAGUUAUAGUGUUCUUCUGGGGACUCUUACUUCUGCAUCAUCUGCAUCAUCUCCAGCAUCUGCCUUCUGAAGUACAGAGGAGAUGGCUGAACAAUUAGAGGGCAGGACUUCCACCUUGUCACAAUUCCAAUCAACUCCUGAGGGGAAAGAGAAAGUGCAGGUUAUGUUGAGUGUAAUUUCCUUUCAGAGACUCUGAUCCCAUGAGGUAAAGAAGACUCCCCUAAUUCUGCUGGCAAUGCUCUUUCCAGUGCUGUCCAAGAUGCUCUUGCCCUCUGUGGCAAGGGCACGUUGUUGGCUUACAACCACCUUGUCCACCAGGACUCCCAGGUACUUCCUGCAGUCAUCUCUCAGCAUGAGCUGGUUCAUGGGGUUGGUUCUCCCCAGGUGCAGGACUUUGCUCUACCCUUUGUUGAACUUCGUAUGGUUCAUGUUUGACUGUUUCUUCAAUCCACUGAGGUUAUCCAAGAUCAAUGUGUAUCAACAACUCUCACUCCUGGAAUAUCUGUGAACUUGUUGAGGAUCCAAUUCCCUGCUGUAAUUCAGGUCAGUAAUGAAGAAGUUGAGCAUCAUUGGCCCCAGCAGUGACUCCUGAGAUGCAUCACUGUUGACUGACCCCAGCUGGACUCCGUGCUGCUGAUCCCAACUCCGUGAGACUAACGGUUCAACAAAUGUUCAGUACACCUCACUGUACAUUUCUUUAGUCUGUGCUCCAUCGGCUUGCCUAUGAGACUGUUGUGGGAGAAUUCCUCAUAGUACUUGGUCAGCAUCAACUUGGAAGGUUCAUUAGAGAUGGUAAAUUUUAAGCCAUGAAUGAAGAGAAAGGAAACAAAAAAAACUUGCUCUCUGGAGAAAGGAAACAAAAAAAACUUGAAUUCAUCAGAAAUUAUGACAAAGACAGCCAAGUGGAAGAGAGAAUGAUAAAAUCUGGUGAGGAUAAGCAGAUUAAACCUUCUAUGUUUAUUGAUAUUUAUUGGUUUAGACCUAAUUUUUCUAAGCAAUGUAAAGAAUUUUAUGGCUAGAACAAAGGACAAAAUUUUAGUGGACUGACAUGUAACAUGAAACUGUUUAUAAAACCUCUUUGCUGGCAUAUUUUAAAAUAGAAGUUUUAUGAGCUGUAAAACAACUAUAAUUGAUGGCUAGAUUAUAUGUACCUAUUGAUUUGGACUUUUGAAAAGAGCAAAUAUUUUAUAUUAGAAGUAUGAAAUCAUAGCCUGUUAUUCUUCUUAAAUGACCAAAAUAUCAGCUGAUGUCUUUUAAAAUAAUACAUCCUUUUCUACAUUUGUGCAGGUAAUAUUUUAGCUUGUGUGUACUUUAUAUAAAAUACUCACAAAAAUUGCAAAGUUUUACGUUGGUUGUGAUACACCAUAGCUCUGAUCUUAGGUAAAUGAUAAGGAGAAUAUUUUCAUAAGAAAGUUGGGUAAAAAAGGGAUGAGUUUUGUAUGUAGUGUACUAAAAGAGAUUCUUUUUCUUGAGUGCUGGAUACAUUUCUGCAAGGAAAGAACUAUAUGUGUUCCUGUAAGCCCUCUUUUACAUCAAUUCAGUAGGAGAGUAUCUUUGAGGAAGACUGACUAAGCAAGGGAGAGGUUGCUUAUGUUGUAUUUCAAUCAUGCUUGCGAUGUUCAGCUCAAAAUCCUUUAGGAUCAGUUUAUCACUGAUCCUAUCAUUCAUUUAAUUUCUUCAGUCCAUUGUCAGAUCUGACACGGUGCUGGUCAGUUUUCCUUUUUAUUUAUUUGCAUCUUCUAAGAAAAAGGCUUUAUGAGGGGAAGUGCUGAGCCUCAAAUAACUGAGAAAGCAACAGAGUUCUUAUCUGCUCUUGAGAUGUUGACUAACUUUCAUUCCAUUAGUCUCUCUCAGAACUUUUCAAAGCAGCAGCUGCCCCUUCCCCUUCCCCUUCCCCUUCCCCUUUCCCUUUCCCUUCCCCUUUCCCUUUCCCUUCCCCUUCCUUCCACUUCUCAUAAAUCUCUGUAGUGCAUCUGCCUUCAAAACUCAUCCCCACCAAAAUACUUAUGACACCAGUGACAGUGUUUAAGUUGCAGUCUGGUAUUACCUUACAGAUAAGUAAACCUCACAGCAAGCUUUUACCAAAAUUCUUGGUUUUCCUUCAGUCCCCUCUACACUCACUUGUGUUCCCGCUCUGUCUCCUGUGCCAUCACUUUUACUUGUCUGAUCAUGUAGCGAGAUGUUUAAGGAAGUUAAAUUGGCAGAAAACCAAUUGUCUUUCUUUAAAAGCGCUUUUCUGCCUGAUCAGUUUCACAGAUUGGGAGCAGAUGAGUUUCAAUAUCAAAGCAAGGGAAAAUUAUUCCAGGGCAGAAGAGUGGAGCAGCUUUAACCUUCUUUGUCAGCAGUUAACGUUUAGAAGAUUGUAGCCAUGACUACACCUAUAAACAGUGAAUAUAAUGCGAAUACUACUCACCACAUUGAUCUGUGCUGACUAGUUAUCUGCCUGGGCUCUCAUGUCUGUAACCACCCUAUUUCCUUUCUUUUCUACUUGGUUAUAAGCCUUUUGUCUAGGAGCUGCCUAUCUCUACUGUUUUUGUAAACCACAACUUUUGCAACUUCAAAACUUUUCAGAAUUUUUCCUUUUUAACAGGUGUCAGACAUUAUUAUUAUUUCUAAUUUGGGGAGGAUGACACAGCCUCCAGAUAACUGUUUGCCAAUGUCCUUGUGAAAAGGCUUAUUAUUACAACAUCUCCUCUGCAUAACAUAAAUAAAUAUUUGGAUAAGAAAAAUUUAUCCUUACUUCACAGGAUGGAAUUUGAGGGCUGUGUUUGGUAUAUGAAAACAAAAAUGUUACCAAACUUCAAGAGGAAAGAAGUGUGAGGAUAAUGUGUGCACUGGUUGAUCACAACUGUUUGGCUUUUGCAGGUAUUGUUACCAGUUACUGCACCACAGUAUGUUGCCUUGCAGGUAUAUGGUACGUAGGAGACCUUUAAAAUUAAAUUUAUGAAUAUUGAAUAUAUGAAGAUAAUUGAAUAACUUGAAUAAAAUUGAAUUAUGAAGAUAAUUUAAUAACUAUGAAUUUAUGAAGAAUAUUGUGAAGAUGGACACUGUGGUUUGGGACGUUAGAACUAGGACAUGAAGGCUUCUACACAACUGUUUUGAAUAUGACCAAGGGAUUCUUAUGGGGCCAGUGGGAAUCAUUUUGAUUUUGCAAAAUUAGUGGUCCUUUUUUUUUUUUUAAUCAUCUUUUAGGUGUCUGUUUGCAUCUCUUUAUUAGGAGCAAGACACUUGGAUAGCAGAAGUUGCUCUUUACUAAUUCCAAUGGCAACAGGCAGACUGAAAGGGACAGGAAAUGCUAACGUACAGAUAAAAUUCAUCAAAACAGAUGAGGAGGAUAUUGGAAAUAUUUCUGGAGACUUGGAACUCAACUUUGGGCUUAAAUCUCUGCUGCUGUCCUUCUCCCCUGCCCGAGCUGCUGCCUCUUGACAAGUCCAUCUCUUAAAAGAGACCCCUCUUCCAAACAUAAAUAAGCCAGCGCUUUAGAACAUUUGCCACCACAAGGAAUAUUUUUCUUCAGAUGAGAACUGAAUGAAGGCAAAACUGCAUGGAAGCUCAGCAGACAGUUAGCAGAACUACCUAGAGCAUGCAUAUCAUCCCCCUGUACAGUUCCAUGGCACCCCUAAAACAACUGGUCAUUGCCACCUGGCACCUCAAGGCAAAGGUCUUACCCCAGGCUGUGCUCUCCCACUGUCACUUCUGUGCUAGCCUUGCUGCCUGGCUGGGGUGUGGUAAACCAGGCUGCAAGCCCUGCAGGGCAGAGAGAUGAGCCAGGAAAACCAGAGGAGGCUUCUUGCAGUGUCUCACCCAGGCCAGGUGAGAUACACAGACUUGGAAGAAGAGGCAAUUCAAAGAGCAAAGCCACAGCACUGACUUAGAUCAGUCUAAAUAUUAGUGUGUGCUACUGGGUGGUGGCAUUUCUUCCUCCUGCCUCUGCUCUGUCCUACUCUGUCCUAAGCAUUGUCAUCUUCUCCCUGGUACCCUUUCUGAUGCUGCUUUGGAGCCCUUGUCAGUUGACUCAGCUCACCAACCUCCCAGAAAAAAAAAAAAAAAAACAAAAAA
ensembl:lncRNA